GAUGAACGCUGGCGGCGUGCCUAAUACAUGCAAGUCGAGCGAACAGACGAGGAGCUUGCUCCUCUGACGUUAGCGGCGGACGGGUGAGUAACACGUGGAUAACCUACCUAUAAGACUGGGAUAACUUCGGGAAACCGGAGCUAAUACCGGAUAAUAUAUUGAACCGCAUGGUUCAAUAGUGAAAGACGGUUUUGCUGUCACUUAUAGAUGGAUCCGCGCCGCAUUAGCUAGUUGGUAAGGUAACGGCUUACCAAGGCAACGAUGCGUAGCCGACCUGAGAGGGUGAUCGGCCACACUGGAACUGAGACACGGUCCAGACUCCUACGGGAGGCAGCAGUAGGGAAUCUUCCGCAAUGGGCGAAAGCCUGACGGAGCAACGCCGGGUGAGUGAUGAAGGUCUUCGGAUUGUAAAACUCUGUUAUUAGGGAAAAAAAAAUGUGUAAGUAACUAUGCACGUCUUGACGGUACCUAAUCAGAAAGCCACGGCUAACUACGU
rnacentral:rRNA from 1 species